ensembl:snRNA U6 U6 spliceosomal RNA
UAAAAUUGUUUUUUUUUUUAAUGCUAAAAUUGGAACAAUGCAGAGAAGAUUAGCAUGGCCCCUGCACGAGGAUGACACGCAAUUUCGUGAAGCGUUCUGUAUUUUU